rnacentral:rRNA from 1 species
AUACGUAGGUGGCGAGCGUUGUCCGGAAUUACUGGGCGUAAAGGGCGCGUAGGCGGCUCUUUAAGUUAGAUGUAGAAAACCCAGGGCUUAACUCUGGGACUGCAUUUAAAACUGAAGGGCUCGAGUGCAGGAGAGGUAAGUGGAAUUCCUAGUGUAGCGGUGAAAUGCGUAGAUAUUAGGAGGAACACCAGUGGCGAAGGCGACUUACUGGACUGUAACUGACGCUGAGGCGCGAAAGCGUGGGGAGC